GGCGCGCUUGGAAUAAACUGAAGGAUUUUUAACUUGUAUGCAUUAAGAUAAAGUAACGAGAGGAGCGUCGCCCACAGUAACGAAGUAAAAGUACCGUUUUUUCACUAAAAAUGUACUUGAGUAAGAGUAAAAGUACCCAUUUUUAAAUAUACUCUAAAAGUAUUAGUUACCCAAAAAAUGUACUCAAGUAAAUGUAACGAAGUAAAUGUAACUCGUUACUACCCACCUCUGGUUGUAGUGUAUAACACGAUUGAUAUUUGCUGGCUUUGGCUAGCCUCCAAGCUAACGCAUACGUGCCUGUAUUGAAUAUGAUUACGCAUCGCUCCAGUAGAGUUAUUGUAAGCCAAUUUGACAUUACACAGUUUACACAAAACUUUUCCGUUUCCUUCUAAUUCAAAAUAAUCCCACACCUUGCUGGUCUUUCACGUGGUCAUUUCGAGCUCGCCGCAACUGACAAGAAAACACAUGCAAGGUCUGAGGUAAAAAUGUAGUUUCCGCCCAGAUACGCUUUUAAAAAUAUUUAAAUAUUUUGAUAUUUAUUCUUUUUCAAAAGUUUUAUUUUAGCUUGUUGUUAAAAUGUUUUAAAUGUAACGUUAACAUUAUGGUAAUUUUUUCUCUCUCUCGUGUAAUCGACUAUUGUUUUCAGUGUCGACUAGUAGGAGCUGAACCGUUUAGUCGACUAGACCCGCACCAGAGCCAUAGAGAGAGAGAGUUGCGACAACUCCGUUGACUCCAAUGGACCGUUUUUUUUACAGCAAUGGCGGAUCAUGGAGCCGCUCAAUAGUUCCCGGAAGUUAGCUCUCAUACUAUCAGCGCCAUAGAGAUGCAGCAGAAGAGACCGCUGUGAUGAACGUUUAAAAGAACAAGAACCACCUGAAGACUCCCUGUAAUGAUGAGAUAUCACCCUCACAAUGAGUUAUGAUUACAUCACAUUUUGUUGGUGUAAUCUAUAGAUUGCUCCUGCUGACUAUCUCCAGGCUCUCAUGAAGACUUCAGUUGACCAGCACCUGUGAAGAGAUGACGCCAGCCCUUGAGAGGACUUCAGAUGAACCUGACUCUGACUCUGAAUAAACAUGCAAAACUGCUACAUUUUCCUCGCAUUGUAAUGAUCACAUCAUGUUACCAUUGCUUUAAUUUGUUCAUUGUUUCUGUAUACAUGUUUCAUUGUUUCUGAAUAGCCUACAUGACAUUACUUAACUGCAUGAUUUGUAAAGCCUAAUUUUAGAACAUUUCUGCCAUAUGAACAUUACUUUGACACAGUUACACCUGUUAACAGAACUCUUAUUUGUAAUGUAGAAACAUUCAUUUCUGUAAAGCUGCUUUGAAACUAUGUGUAUAAUAAAAAGUGCUAUACAAAUAAA